rnacentral:rRNA from 1 species
UACAGAGGGGGCAAGCGUUGUUCGGAAUUACUGGGCGUAAAGGGCGCGUAGGCGGCCCGUUAAGUCGAACGUGAAAUCCCCAGGCUCAACCUGGGAACUGCGUCCGAUACUGGCAGGCUUGAAUCCGGGAGAGGGAUGUGGAAUUCCUGGUGUAGCGGUGAAAUGCGCAGAUAUCAGGAGGAACACCGAUGGCGAAGGCAGGUCUCUGGGCAUUAACUGACGCUGAGGAGCGAAAGCAUGGGGAGCGAACAGG